UCAGACUUGGAUUUGACAAGGGCCCUCUAA
rnacentral:piRNA from 1 species